GAUGAACGCUAGCGGCAGGCUUAACACAUGCAAGUCGAGGGGCAGCGCGGGAUAGCAAUAUCCUGGCGGCGACCGGCGGAAGGGUGCGUAACGCGUGAGCGACAUGCCCGUUGCCCGGGGACAACCGGUGGAAACGCCGACUAAUCCCCGAUGGGAUACGAUGCUUCAUGGCAUUGUAUUGAAAGUUACGGCGGCGACGGAUUGGCUCGCGUCCGAUUAGCUGGUUGGCGGGGUAACGGCCCACCAAGGCUGCGAUCGGUAGGGGUUCUGAGAGGAAGGCCCCCCACAAUGGGACUGAGACACGGCCCAUACUCCUACGGGAGGCAGCAGUGAGGAAUAUUGGUCAAUGGGCGGAAGCCUGAACCAGCCAUGCCGCGUGCGGGAAGGAGGCCCUAUGGGCUGUGAACCGCUUUUGCCUGGGGGCAAUAAGGGCGUCGCGCACGUCCGAUGAGAGUACCAGGCGAAUAAGCAUCGGCUAACUCCGU
rnacentral:rRNA from 1 species